rnacentral:rRNA from 1 species
UACAGAGGUCUCAAGCGUUGUUCGGAUUCAUUGGGCGUAAAGGGUGUGUAGGUGGCGCGCUAAGUCGGGUGUGAAAUUUCGGAGCUCAACUCCGAAACUGCAUUUGAUACUGGCGUGCUUGAGGACUGGAGAGGAGACUGGAAUUUACGGUGUAGCAGUGAAAUGCGUAGAGAUCGUAAGGAAGACCAGUGGCGAAGGCGGGUCUCUGGACAGUUCCUGACACUGAGGCACGAAGGCCAGGGGAGCAAACGGG